rnacentral:ribozyme from 1 species
UGCCCAGGAACCCCUAUCCCUAUCUCCUCGUGAUACUGGCCGGGGUACGAGUAACCUUAGGGAAGA